rnacentral:sRNA from 1 species
GCAGAGCCGUGGCCCUCUUCUUUGUUCUCUGCUGGAUCCAAGGGUCUCCCUCUGUCACCCAGGGCUGGAGUGCAGUGGCAUAAUCACAGCUAAUUGCAGCCUCAACAUUCCAGGCCCAAGGAUCCUCCCUUUAGCCUCCCAGAGUCGGAGUCUCCCUAUGUUUCCCAGGCUGGUCUCGAACUCCUGACCUCAAGUGAUCCUCCCACCUCAGCCUCCCAGAGCGCUGGGAUUGAAGACGUGAGCCACCGCACCUGGCCUGAAUUUUCCUCAGAUUCAAAAAAUCCUGAUGAAGGUUUGGCUAAAAUCUUUGAUGAAAUUCUGCUGCAAGUGUUUUCCAAGGUUCCGUAUGACCCAUCAUUUGAUGAAACAAGAACAGCAGUCAGAUCCAUUACAAAGAGAGACACACAAAAAAGCUAUUCCCAACAAAAGAGCUUGAACAGUGCUGCAUUUGCAUCAGGUUCAAAUGAGCGAGAGGAACAUUUGGCUAAAAUAUUUGAUGAAAUUCUACUGCAGGUGUUUCCAAAGGUUCCGUAUCAUCCAUCAUUUAACGAAACAACAGCAGUCAGAUCCAUUACAAAGACAGACAUGAGAAAAGGAACCAGUGUUGUUUGGAAAUCUCCUAAACCAGAAUAUUUCCUUGGCAGUGUGGACAAAAUUCCCGAUAAAGAUCACCUUUCAGAGGAGAAGAGUUUUAAAGAAUCCUCUCUGUUCGACAGGGUUUUAAGAGAGCAGUUAACUACUGUAGAUAAAGAAACACUUCAAGGGGCAGCUAAACCAGGUG